rnacentral:rRNA from 1 species
CUCCGACCUCAGAUCGGGCGAGAUUACCGCUGAACUUAAG